GACGAACGCUGGCGGCGUGCUUAACACAUGCAAGUCGAACGGAAAGGCCCUGCUUUUGUGGGGUGCUCGAGUGGCGAACGGGUGAGUAACACGUGAGUAACCUGCCCUUGACUUUGGGAUAACUUCAGGAAACUGGGGCUAAUACCGGAUAGGAGCUCCUGCUGCAUGGUGUGGGUUGGAAAGUUUCGGCGGUUGGGGAUGGACUCGCGGCUUAUCAGCUUGUUGGUGGGGUAGUGGCUUACCAAGGCUUUGACGGGUAGCCGGCCUGAGAGGGUGACCGGCCACAUUGGGACUGAGAUACGGCCCAGACUCCUACGGGAGGAAGCAGUGGGGAAUAUUGCACAAUGGGCGGAAGCCUGAUGCAGCAACGCCGCGUGCGGGAUGACGGCCUUAGGGUUGUAAACCGCUUUCGCCUGUGACGAAGCGUGAGUGACGGUAAUGGGUAAAGAAGCACCGGCUAACUACGUG
rnacentral:rRNA from 1 species